rfam:Lachancea dasiensis CBS 10888 genome assembly, chromosome: C
GCUCGUGUAGCUCAGUGGUUAGAGCUUCGUGCUUAUAGAUGCAUUCGGUUCUCCGAAGCUUUCUGUGAAAGUACGGCCGCUAAACACGGCCUUUAAAGCAACGCGACCGUCGUGGGUUCGAACCCCACCUCGAGCA